rnacentral:rRNA from 1 species
AUUGAACGCUGGCGGCAUGCUUUACACAUGCAAGUCGGACGAGUGGCGGACGGGUGAGUAAUGUUUGGGAAACCGCCUGAUGGAGGGGGAUAACUACUGGAAACGGUAGCCAAUACCGCAUACCCUCGUGUGGGUCCAGAUGGGAUUAGCGAGUAGGUGGGGUAAAGGCUCACCUAGGCGACGACCCCUGGCUGGUCUGAGAGGAUGACCAGCCACACUGGAACUGAGACACGGUCCAGACUCCUACGGGAGGCAGCAGUGGGGAAUAUUGCACAAUGGGCGCAAGCUUGAUGCAGCCAUGCCGCGUGUAUGAAGAAGGCCUUCGGGUUGUAAAGUACUUUCAGCGGGGAGGCGUUACCCGCAGAAGAAGCACCGGCUAACUCCGUGCCAGCAGCCGCGGUAAUUC